ACGCGUGGAACCUUACCAGGUCUUGACAUCCCGCUGACCGUCCUGGAGACAGGAUUUUCCCUUCGGGGACAGCGGUGACAGGUGGUGCAUGGUUGUCGUCAGCUCGUGUCGUGAGAUGUUGGGUUAAGUCCCGCAACGAGCGCAACCCUUGAUCUUAGUUGCCAGCAUUCAGUUGGGCACUCUAAGGUGACUGCCGGUGACAAACCGGAGGAAGGUGGGGAUGACGUCAAAUCAUCAUGCCCCUUAUGACCUGGGCUACACACGUGCUACAAUGGAUGGUACAAAGGGCAGCAAAACCGCGAGGUCGAGCAAAUCCCAUAAAACCAUUCUCAGUUCGGAUUGUAGGCUGCAACUCGCCUACAUGAAGCUGGAAUCGCUAGUAAUCGCGGAUCAGCAUGCCGCGGUGAAUACGUUCCCGGGCCUUGCACACACCGCCCGU
rnacentral:rRNA from 1 species